rnacentral:rRNA from 1 species
UACGGAGGGUGCAAGCGUUAAUCGGAAUUACUGGGCGUAAAGCGUGCGUAGGUGGUUCGUUAAGUCCGUUGUGAAAGCCCCGAGCUCAACUUGGGAAUUGCAGUGGAUACUGGCGAGCUGGAGUGCGGUAGAGGAAGGUGGAAUUCCCGGUGUAGCGGUGAAAUGCGUAGAGAUCGGGAGGAACACCAGUGACGAAGGCGGCCUUCUGGACCAGCACUGACACUCAAGCACGAAAGCGUGGGGAGCAAACAGG